AUAUCUCUCCGUACGGGAAGGAUGAGAAGCUUCGACUAAGGUUCGAUUCGAGCGCAGCGAGAAAGCGUUGCCGCAGGCAACGACCCGAAGGGUGAAGCGCGCAGCGCUGAGUAAUCCUUCCCCCACCAUCA
rnacentral:sRNA from 1 species